GACGAACGCUGGCGGCGUGCUUAACACAUGCAAGUCGAACGGAAAGGCCCUGCUUUUGUGGGGUGCUCGAGUGGCGAACGGGUGAGUAACACGUGAGUAACCUGCCCUUGACUUUGGGAUAACUUCAGGAAACUGGGGCUAAUACCGGAUAGGAGCUCCUGCUGCAUGGUGGGGGUUGGAAAGUUUCGGCGGUUGGGGAUGGACUCGCGGCUUAUCAGCUUGUUGGUGGGGUAGUGGCUUACCAAGGCUUUGACGGGUAGCCGGCCGGAGAGGGUGGCCGGCCUCAUUGGGCCUACGGUAGGGCCCAGACUCCUAUGGGAGGCAGCAGUCGGGAAUAUUGUCCAAUGGGCGCAAGCCUGAUGCAGAAGCGCCGCGUGCGGGAUGACGGCCUUCGGGUUGUAAACCGCUUUCGCCUGUGACGAAGCGUGAGUGACGGUAAUGGGUAAAGAAGCACCGGCUAACUACGUG
rnacentral:rRNA from 1 species